rnacentral:misc_RNA from 1 species
UCUCCGUUGGUGAACCAGCGGAGGGAUCAUUACCGAGUUUUCUACUCCCAAACCCCUGUGAACUUAUACCUUUACCGUUGCUUCGGCGGGUUAACGCCCCGGAAAGGCCCCCGAAAGGGAGCCGCCCCGGAACCAGGCGCCCGCCGGGGGACCCAAACUCUUGUAUUUACUUACCUAGCAUGUCUGAGUGGAAUCAUAAACAAAUGAAUCAAAACUUUCAACAACGGAUCUCUUGGUUCUG